ensembl:lncRNA
CUAUUUUAUUUUAUUUUUUUCACCUUUUAUUUAACCAGGUAGGCAAGUUGAGAACAAGUUCUCAUUUACAAUUGCGACCUGGCCAAGAUAAAGCAAAGCAGUUCGACACAUACAACGACACAAAGUUACACAUGGAGUAAAACAAACAUACAGUAGGAACAAGUCUAUAUAUGGUGUGAGCAAAUGAGGUGAGAAGGGAGGUAAAGGCAAAAAAGAGGCCAUGGUGGCAAAGUAAAUACAAUAUAGCAAGUAAAACACUGGAAUGGUAGAUUUGCAGUGGAAGAAUGUGCAAAGUAGAAAUAAAAAUAAUGGGGUGCAAAGGAGCUAAAUAAAUAAAUACAAUAAAUUCAGUAGGAAAAGGGGUAGUUGUUUGGGCUAAAUUAUAGGUGGGCUAUGAACAGGUGCAGUAAUCUGUGUGCUGCUCUGACAGCUGGUGCUUAAAGCUGGUGAGGAAGAUAAGUGUUUCCAGUUUCAGAGAUUUUUGUUGUUUGUUCCAGUCAUUGGCAGCAGAGAACUGGAAGGACAGGCGGCCAAAGAAAGAAUUGGUUUUGGGGGUGACCAGAGAGAUAUACCUGCUGGAGCGCGUGCUACAGGUCUACAGGGACAUCAUCGCAUGGAGACAAUACCUUCUAGCCCCAAGAACAGCUCAACAACUCCCCCUGUUCCAGAUGACCCCCACCUGCCCGAAGGCUAUGAAACAUUCCCCCAGAGUGCUCCAUGUUUCCAUAAAGCAUCAGGCUCCCCCCAGGAGGAUUUGUCUCCUGUCCCUUCACCUGUACCAUGUAUGUAUCAGGAACACAGUGAUUCUCAGGCUGAUGAAGAGGAGGAGGACAAGGCCCCUGCAUCUGAAGAUGAUGAAGGAGGAGGUCCCAGAGAGGAGGAAGAGGAUGGAGAUUAUGAGGAGACCGUGGUAGAGCCCAGGCCUCUGAAUGAGUUUGCAUCUCUAACAGACAGAACCAGCCCCUGGACCAGCCUGCUGUCAGACCCAGACCUAGCCUCUCUGGAGAGUCUGGAGACACCAGAGGAGCGCCAAGCCUUGGACUACUCCUACCACCCCAGUCUCACCCAACAGGAGGGGGAGAGGUCUGAUCUGCAGACUGACACCCUGCAGGCUUGGAGGUCUAGUGAGGCCAUAGGCAGCAGACUAGAGGAGAGGGAGCAACAUGUUAACUCUGAAUUCUCUCAUGGACCAGACACAGAUGAGGAGGAAGACACUGUGAGUGAUGGUGAGAGGACACUCCAAACCUCUGACAAUGAGGCAGCACUACAUCAGGAGUCCAUCACUGCUGCUCUACACGAACAGUCCUUAUUGUGUAGUGGAGAGACUGCUAGCAGGGUUCCUGGUGACAGAGAAGCUCUGUCAGAGGUUGAGACCUCCGGGUUGUUGUACGACACAGCUGCUUUCUCAGAAGAGGACACAGAACAUGUUGUCACAUCUGACACAUAUCAGCCAGAAACGUUCCUACACAAAGAAGACAACAGGAAGUCUAAACACUCUGACCCUGUGGAGAUCCCUAAUUUCUUCCUCUCAUCUCACCACAUGGAGGCUUCUAUGAGAGCGCUACGCAUAGCACCUGUCUUCCCCCUGGCCUCUUCUGACCCAAAAAAGAGCUCUCUUAGACAUGGGAUUCUCUGUCGGCGCGUUCCUCGUCCCAGGCCCAAUAUACCACCGUCGUCCAUGAAGAAAGAAGAGACCAAGAGAAUAGCAAAGAUAUUUGCAUCUCAUUUUAAAGACUAAUAUUAGCACUUUCUUUAAAUGCUAUUUGAUAUUGUGUGUCGUGCUGUAUAUACGGUUGGGUGUAUGUUUUCUAAAGGUUUAUGAAUGACCACACAUCUUGAUUACAUAAGUGGCAGCUCAUGGACAGUGCUUUCUAAUUAUGUAAAGAAUAUGUACAUUUCAUUUAAGUAGUUUUUCUAUUGUUUUUAUAAAUUAAAUGGUUUUGCCAGUGUAACUGAUAUUUUAUUUAUUUAUUAUUAGGUGUGUACCCAUGAUCACUGAUGUGGGAGACUCACAUAGCCUUUUAAGGAUUAUUGUCACAGGGGAAAACAUUUUUUCUAAUAGUCAAAAGGGUAUCAAGUGUUGACCCCCUUGUCCAUUAGUCCUUGUUUUUCCAACAAAGUGAUGAACAGUUUGUUCUUAAAGUGAUGUCACCUUUGUUUGGAUUUCAGUAGCUGUCAUGGUAAGUGGGCUGGUGUUAGGAUAUGUAUGUAAUAGUUGUAUGUUGUUCUAUUCUCUGCGUCACCAGGCAGUCACACACUAUUCAAGAGCCGCUUCUGUUCCUGAAACCAGAGACUAGGAACUUCUGACAGUGAAAACAUGCACUAGCUCAGGCACACAGCCUCUCAGGGACAUGUAUGGAUUGGCUCAGCGGAUGGGUGCAUGGGCGUUUUUAUAUAUAUAUAAUUAUGGAGUGUUACAUAAUUAUUAUAAAGUCUAAAUUAGCUCUGUGCUAUUUCAACAAGUCUUAUUGCCUUGGCUCCCUGCUGAAAUGAAAUUCAUUGGAUGUAAUACCUUUUGAGUUUAAGACAACUACUGUAUCUUGCAUAUCGGCUGUUCAUUGUAACUGAAAAUGACCAAUUACAUAAUAAAUGAUGUAUCAAAGAGUGUUGCAUUUUUGCGCAGAUAUAAUUAAAUGCAUGUUUUUUUAAGGUUCAACAGAACAUUGACUGUUGUAAACUGAGGCUGACUGACAUAAUGUCGCAUACUGUCUUGUACUCCCAAAAGGGAGAAAUAGUUUACAUGAACUUUCAUCAUGGUUUGAACAUUUUUGGAGUAAUUUUUUUAAAUAAAAAAAAAACCUAAAUGCA